CAACACUGGGAAGCUCCUCCCACAGACCCUGCCGGGGACCCCACUAAGGGAGUCAGGCAUGAAGGGGCUGGGCUGGGGACAGAGGCUGCGGAGCAGGCCCCCGCGCAGCCAGGAAGGAGACAGAGGGCUGAGUCCCUGCAUCCUGGAGUUGGAGGCUGCCAGGGAGACUAGAGGCACCCACCAUGCAAUUUCGUCGCCUGACUCCUGGCUACUUCCGGGUGCUACAGAUGCAGGUUGCUGGGGAGCUGAAGGCAGAGCCCCGGAGUACACUAGCUGGGGCUGUGGCAACACUGCUGGCUGUCCUUGGGCUGGGCGGCUCCUGCUAUGCUGUCUGGAAGAUGGUGGAGCAGCAGCGGCAGCGGCCCCAACCCCAGGCUCCACGAUGAAAAGGGCAGCCACUCACCUGGGCUGUGGGAUCUGAGACUUCGCGGUGGGAGGAGGGGCGCAUGCUUUGACCACCUCUGGAAAGCCCUGGACACUGUGACAGGGAGAACCCGGUGUUAGUGCCAUCUGAGACGGCAGA